UACGUAGGGUGCAAGCGUUAAUCGGAAUUACUGGGCGUAAAGCGUGCGCAGGCGGUUCGGCAAGUCAGGUGUGAAAUCCCCGGGCUCAACCUGGGAACUGCAUUUGUGACUGCACGGCUAGAGUGUGUCAGAGGGGGGUAGAAUUCCACGUGUAGCAGUGAAAUGCGUAGAUAUGUGGAGGAAUACCGAUGGCGAAGGCAGCCCCCUGGGAUAACACUGACGCUCAUGCACGAAAGCGUGGGGAGCAAACAGG
rnacentral:rRNA from 1 species